rnacentral:tRNA from 1 species
AGGGCUAUAGCUCAGUUCGGUAGAGCAACUCGUUUACUUUUGAAACAGUUUGAAUCAUUUUUAUAUUAAUCAGUUUGAUCUGUUUUACCGAGAAGGUCUACGGUUCGAAUCCGUAUAGCCCUA